CGCGCGAACUCAACGCGCCGGACCCCCGGCUGCCAGGGACGCUCUCCAGGACGACCGCAGCUGCUCCGCAGGGAGCGGGGUCUCGACCCAGCAUCAACAUAGAGGCGGGAAGAAAAAGCUGAAGGCUUAACAGUAAUGUCCUACUCUUGAAUGCCAGGCUCUCUGUGGAUUAACCUUCAAAUCUCUUUUCGGUGAGGCCUCGGGUCAGCAAUCACUGAGGAGAUCAGUUCCUAGAAUCAGUGCUUCUCAGAAAUUAAUGACCUGGCUCUGAGUGCCUCCCUCCCCUGACAACUAGUCAUCCUGCAACUGGCCUUUAAAUGUAGCCCGAGGCAGAGAACCAGACAUGCAGCAAGCAGCCCCAGGAGAAAGCAGCCAGCCAACAACACCACUUUGCAACUGAAAUGGAUCACACUUGACAUCAGUGCAGCCCACAGCCCUGGAGAGCACACAGUUGCUGAGCUUCUUCAGUUCUUCAUCCUCCAGCUACAGCUGCCUCUUACAGGCCCGCAGUUCUCGAUGCCCACUCUUAUUUUAUUGAGCAAAUGAGUUCCUGUGGGAGGAAUCUUCCUAAUGACUGACUUUAAGGGAAAGUUGACAGACUCCCUUUUAAAAUACUCAGGCAGUAGAUUUUUCUGCCAAUUGAAACAAGUUUGCAGCUGGCCCUGGAGUAACCCUUCUCCCAAUACUGUGCAGGCUGCUGUCAUGUCAGUGUCAUCCAUCCGGGGGACACUCCUAUUAGCCACAUGUGCAUAGGACAAUUCUGUGCUCCCAGCAACCACUUGCAUCUUCUCAGUCUCAAGAAAGACGUGGAGAGACAGUUGACUCAGCGCUGCCCGUUCCUAUCGUUCCACCUGCCGAGGACAUGUCGCUGAGCCAGUGGGCACUCUCACAGCUCUCCUGUUCCAGGUUCUGAAGUUGUUCUUGACUCUCAACACCUUCAUGUUUCCAGAUGUGUAGUUGCACUGUUUUGAGCUAAUGAGCAUUCUGCACCUUGUGGGAUCAGAACAUAGCAGUGCCCAAACACAGGCACAGAUGAGGCCCUGGAUCCUUGGGUGUAGACGUGUGGGUUGGGUUCCUUGUAUUUAGUGUGUUGCUAUGCAGGACUGGACAUCUGAGGGCCUUGAGCUCCACAGCACAGGAAUCAGCAGGCAGGGAGGGUGGUGGGAAGCUGAGGGCACCCUGGCUUCUGAAGCUGGCAAACCUUGGCUGCUUGCAGCUGGUGCUGCACGGUGAUCUCCCGCAGCCCAUGAUGGGCACCUGGGUGCCAAGCUCUGUCUCCCCACCAACCAUCGCAGGUGGACUGGAAGUGCCUGGGGAUGGAAAUUUAGUGGGGAUUGCACUCUCCUUACCCCUGCCUCUGGUCCUGUGGUUUGGUUCCCCAAGACUUUCCAGUAUUUAAGGAUCAAUACUCUGGGAUUGAUACCAAAUGUGCUUAUAUAGAGAUUUUCAGAGCAAGACUUACUCUUUGCUCUAGACAGAAUAAGGAAACUAUUUUUGCCUGCAUUAAAGUCUCUGGUUGUUGACAAGUAACCUAUUUGUAGCCUGAAGGGACAUCCUCAGAAAGAGUUCCCAUUUCUGCUUAGAUUCCAGGCCCCACCUCCAGUCUUGGUCACCGCCCUAGUCACACGUGGCCACCAGGGGGGCGGUCUUCCCUAGGGAACUCCAUUUCAAUCUGACCCUGCUUUCUGUUUCCUUUUAGCCACAGCUGCUGUUACAUCACAUUUGAUGGAAAUCAAAACAAAGCCUCGGUUGCAGGUGUUUCUGCAAAACCUAGAGAUUUCAUUUGAUUUUUUUCUUUAUACUUGUGACAAGCUGCUCUUUAGGGAAACCUUUAAACUGAGACCACAACAGAGCAGGAAGCCCUGUGUGAAUGGGCUGAGAGGUCAAGAGGGUGAAUGCCCAGGGUGCUGUGGGGACUUCUGCCUUGGAGAGGAAGGAAACUGUUAGGACAGGGGAAUGUGUCCUGGAAUGUGGAGGGGAGGGCAGGGGUAGAUGCCAUAAGGUUAAAGAAAUAACAUGUUCUUCUGCACUUCCAUCUAGGUAUGUAUUGUCUAUCCUCAGAUAUUCAUACAAGCCACCAUGUCAUCACUGAAUAUAAGACCCUUCUUUGGAAUGAGGAAUGAAUUGGUCAGCCUUCUCUAGAAUUCACAACGGAAUUCUGGUUUUUGAGGCUUUUUCCAUUGGAGGCCAGUUAUUUAAGCAUAAGACACACAAUUUGGAAGAUUUGUAGAAAGAGACAAUAUUCUCAUUUAUAGCCAUCUGAAGAAAAAUAAGACAAUACGUACCACAUUUUAAGUUGUUACUCAUGGAAGAUGCAAUGGGUGCUGAGUUAUUGCGGCUUCGAACAGAAAGUGCUUUUUAACUUCACCUCCCAUGAGAUACUCAUCAUGUUGUUGUUAAAAUUUUUUCUGUUUAGCAGUAGAUAGAAUUACUGAUGUGUGGAAUAAAUUUUGCAGCAUUAAGUCAUAACAUAUCAUCUAUUUGUAUUAAAUUUCCAAAGCCCACCUCUCAACAAAGCUCAAACAUCAGCAAUGUCCUCCAGACUGCCAAUGGAGGUUCACAAGUAAGCAAAAUUUACCCCUCCCAGUGUGACUUUGAGAUCCAGGAAAUGAUGGAGAGAAAGUCCUCUAAUUCUAGGCUAUUCAGUUAGCCCUGCAAAAUAUCUUGCAGACAUUGUGUGUAUCUUCCACAAAUUCAGUGUCAUUGCUUCUCGUGUGAUACUCAGUAAAACCCAAUAAAAGACAAUAAACUACUGAGGACUAAGGUUUUGUUAGACCACUCCCAGGUUGAGCUUCAGAGUACCACAAACCCUGUAAUGUUAAAGAUUUGUUCACAAUCCUAAAACUACUGGUUACACCUUGGAGGCAAUUGUAACAACUUACCACUGGUGGAGGAAUGAUGGUAAUGGGAGAGACUCUGCAGAUACAGAAGGAGAGAGGAUGUGAAAAAAUGCAGUAACUUCUCACUUUUGCUGUGAAUAUAACUGCUAUUUUUAGAAAGUAUAUUUUUGCAAAAGUUCAUAAAAGCCAUAGAAAUUGGCUUAUUACACUAACAGAGUCAGUUCAUUCCAGGAAAGAGGUGUUUUGUGUUUUUUUUUGUUUUGUUUUGUUUUUGUUUUGCUCUGGAGGAACAAACAGUUGGCCAGGGGACAUACUUCUACAUAGAACACAAGCCACCUCUCCAGACUAGCUCACUGUCUUAGUCCAUCCUGGCCAGUGGAGGGCACUCAUCUCUUGUAAAUAUUGUGCAGGGCCACUGUACAGCAGUCUCCUGUUUCUAUUUCCUUUUUGCUACAGCUACACUUACAUCACUGCAGCAGGGACAUUCACUCUGGUCCAAAAAUAGUCACCAGGAGAAAAAAAGAGAACAAGGCUUCUCCUAUGAGAGUUUCUAAAAAACCUAGAAAUUUCAAACAACUUUUGCUCUUACUUGGUGGCUUUGUAAUGGGAAAUAAAACUGCCAGAGAGAAACCGCAACGGAAAAGGAAGCAGCUGUGUGAAUGGGAAGGAGAGUCACAGAGCUGGGCAGAGCUCACUGGGGGUUUCUACACUGCGGGGAGGGAAACUGUGUGAUUUGAGAGAGAAAGGAUGGGAUCUGGGGAAACAGGGAGGAAGGGGGAAUGUGCUGUGUCGGAAUGUAUAGGGGAUGUGUACCUACAUAUAGUGCAUAUGUGUACAUAGUAUAUUAUUAUGGAAAGAGUAAUAUACAAUUGAUGAGCCACCCAUUCUCAACCAGGUAUUUUAGACCAUCAGCAGUUUAUAGUCAGUUAUAAAGAGAAAUCUAGGAGAAGUUCAUUAUUCUCUCAGAGAUCUCUGAAAAAAAUAAAAAACAAGAAAACAGCCAUCAUCUGUUAAAUUCUCGCUCAAUGGAAGAUACUAGAUACCUUUAAAUGUGCUACUUCGUUGUUACAACAGCUCUAGGAAUAUUCCUACUCUAUAUUUGGGUAAACAGUUUCAGAGAGCUCAAGAGAGUUUCUCAGGAGCAAACAACUAGAUUCACAGCAAAAUCCAGAGACCAUGCAUAAUCCUAUAGCACAUGUCAUAAAUUACUCCUUAAGACUCAUCUUGGGAAAUUCUCAAGCUUCUCUUCUUCCAUCCUUUCUGAAGAUCGAUCUUCCCUGGUUGUGUCCCACUUAUACCAGCUGCACUAUCUCUCUGCCCUUGCAGGCUCUUCUUCUUUUUCUCAGCCUUAAAAGUUGAAGUUUUUUUGAGCUUUAGAGCAUCUUCUCAUUCCACACUCAACUCAGAAGGAAGGACAUUCAGUCCUCCAAAUAUGCAACCAACCAUUGCAAUUUAAUGUCUCCAGGAGGUACACAGUUGGAGAUCCCAGAUUCACAUCUGCCUCUACCAGUGGGAAGUCUGCUCUCCCCUCUCCCUGACCUCCCUCAUUCAAGCUCCUGCUGAAAGGAAUCCUGUGUGCUCUACCUCUCAUUGUACCAUGAAACAUAAAUGGAAUGCAUUAAGCUUGAUGGCUGCUUUUACAUCUCUUUCCUCUUCCAAAUGGAAAGCACCAAAAGAAUGGGCUUUCCUUUUUUCACCUCAAUAUUCUCAGAAGUAUAACAAUGUAACCUAGAAAUAAACAGUUUUAAUAUAUAACUAUAUAUUAACAGUUUAAUAUAUAACUGACUGGAAAAGUGAAUGAGUGCAUUGAAUUCCCCCAUGGAUUCUCCAGGAUGGGUUUCAAAUUCAGGCUACUUCUCUUAAGAAUAAAAAAAUCCAAAAUGUCUUCAGGAGAAAAAAAUUCAUAAAUUAAACAAGAAAAUAAUAAAAGACAAAGGUGGAAAUAGUUUA